rnacentral:siRNA from 1 species
CAGUAGCUACCAAUCAGUGACUAA